AUUGAACGCUGGCGGCAGGCCUAACACAUGCAAGUCGAGCGGUAGAGAGGUGCUUGCAUCUCUUGAGAGCGGCGGACGGGUGAGUAAUGCCUAGGAAUCUGCCUAGUGGUGGGGGAUAACGUUCGGAAACGGACGCUAAUACCGCAUACGUCCUACGGGAGAAAGCGGGGGAUCUUCGGACCUCGCGCCAUUAGAUGAGCCUAGGUCGGAUUAGCUAGUAGGUGAGGUAAUGGCUCACCUAGGCGACGAUCCGUAACUGGUCUGAGAGGAUGAUCAGUCACACUGGAACUGAGACACGGUCCAGACUCCUACGGGAGGCAGCAGUGAGGAAUAUUGGUCAAUGGACGCAAGUCUGAACCAGCCAUGCCGCGUGCAGGAUGACGGUCCUAUGGAUUGUAAACUGCUUUUGUACGAGAAGAAACAACAUUACGUGUAAU
rnacentral:rRNA from 1 species